rnacentral:rRNA from 1 species
AACGAACGCUGGCGGCAUGCCUAACACAUGCAAGUCGAACGAGACCUUCGGGUCUAGUGGCGCACGGGUGCGUAACGCGUGGGAACCUGCCCUUAGGUUCGGAAUAACUCCCCGAAAGGGGUGCUAAUACCGGAUAAUGUCUUCGGACCAAAGAUUUAUCGCCUUUGGAUGGGCCCGCGUUGGAUUAGCUAGUUGGUAGGGUAAAAGCCUACCAAGGCGACGAUCCAUAGCUGGUCUGAGAGGAUGAUCAGCCACACUGGGACUGAGACACGGCCCAGACUCCUACGGGAGGCAGCAGUGGGGAAUAUUGGACAAUGGGUGAAAGCCUGAUCCAGCAAUGCCGCGUGAGUGAUGAGGGCCUUAGGGUUGUAAAGCUCUUUUACCCGGGAUGAUAAUGACAGUACCGGGAGAAUAAGCGCCGGCUAACUCCGUG